rnacentral:rRNA from 1 species
AGUGAACGCUGGCGGUAGGCCUAACACAUGCCAGUCGAACGGCAGCACAGUAAGAGCUUGCUCUUACGGGUGGCGAGUGGCGGACGGGUGAGGAAUACAUCGGAAUCUACUUUUUCGUGGGGGAUAACGUAGGGAAACUUACGCUAAUACCGCAUACGACCUACGGGUGAAAGCAGGGGAUCUUCGGACCUUGCGCGAUUGAAUGAGCCGAUGUCGGAUUAGCUAGUUGGCGGGGUAAAGGCCCACCAAGGCGACGAUCCGUAGCUGGCCUGAGAGGAUGAUCAGCCACACUGGAACUGAGACACGGUCCAGACUCCUACGGGAGGCAGCAGUGGGGAAUAUUGGACAAUGGGCGCAAGCCUGAUCCAGCCAUACCGCGUGGGUGAAGAAGGCCUUCGGGUUGUAAAGCCCUUUUGUUGGGAAAGAAAAGCAGCAGGUUAAUACCCAGCUGUUCUGACGGUACCCAAAGAAUAAGCACCGGCUAACUUCGUG